GGCCCCUCACCCUGCACUCUAUAACCUGACCCCCUACUGCGUAGCAAGCGAAGGUACUACGUGUCUCGGGUACCGCUGUCAAUUGGGAAGAACCUACUUAUGGUUAAUACCCAUGAGUACUGACGGUACCACUGAAGGAAGCACCGGCUAACUCCGUGCCAGCAGCCGCGGUAAUACGGGGGGUGCAAGCGUUAUUCGGAUUUACUGGGCGUAAAGCGCGCGCAGGCGGUUUUGUAAGUCGGAUGUGAAAGCCCUGGGCUCAACCCGGGAAGUGCAUUCGAUACUGCAUAACUUGAGUAUGGGAGAGGGAAGUGGAAUUCCUGGUGUAGAGGUGAAAUUCGUAGAUAUCAGGAGGAACAUCGGUGGCGAAGGCGACUUCCUGGACCAAUACUGACGCUGAGGCGCGAAGGCGUGGGGAGCAAACAGGAUUAGAUACCCUGGUAGUCCACGCAGUAAACGAU
rnacentral:rRNA from 1 species